rnacentral:tRNA from 1 species
CGGGCCGUAGCGCAGUGGUAGCGCGCAUCGUUCGGGACGAUGAAGUCGUGGGUUCAAAUCCCACCGGCCCGA